CUUUUGAAUACUUCAGAGGGCCCCUGAAGUGUCCAGAAAACAGAGAACUAGCCACAUCUCUAAGGAGCUCUCAUUCCUGUUAAUGAAGAAUGAUAUUUACAAACCAAAAUCCAGGAACUAGGUUUAGGAGCAAGAUAAUGGAAUAGAAGCCUACAACAUUUGCUCUCCGACCCCACUGGAAAACCAAAUGACUCUUGGGUUUCCUGACACCAGGCCUAGGUGGUGGGACAGCAUUUCUGGACCUGCCCUGGGAAAGAAGGGAGCUUAACAGUCCUGAAAGGACAGACUAGUUCUCCGUCCCUUGCAGCUCAUGGGCUGAGUUCUGACCAAUGGGAUGUAGACAGAGAUGAUGCGCAAUCUUGAAAGAGGAUAUUACUCUGUCGCCCAAGCUGAAGUGCAGCGGCAUGACCAUAGCUCAUUGCAGUCUCAACCUCCUGGGUUCAAGUCAUCCCCGUGCCUCAGCCUCCCAAGUAGCUGGGACUGCAGGUGUGUGCCACCACUCCCAGCUAAUCUUUUAUUUUUUGUAGAGGUGGAGUCUCACUAUAUUGUCUAGGCUGAUCUCGAAUUCCUGGGCUCAAGCAAUCCUGCCACCUAGGCCUCCCCAAUUCUGGGAUUACAGGUGUGAGCCACCUUUCCCAGCCUUAGUAGUUUUGUCUUUAUAUAUAAAUUUUCCUAUCAGUUUGUGGAUAUCUUUGUAUAUUAAAAAAGCUUACUGAGGUUUUCAGUGGGAUUGCAUUAAAUCUUUAGAUCACAUUGGAAAGAAUAGCCAUUUUAGCUAUAUUGAGUCUUCUAAUCUAUAAACACAAAUUUCCUCUAAUUAUGUUUAUCUUCUUUGGUUUCUUUCAUUAGUGUUUUUUCAGGUUUUUGUGUAAGUCUUAAACAUAUUUUAUCAGAUUUAUACCAAAGUGCUUUGAUGUUUUGGAGCUAUUAUAAAUAUUUCAGAUUUCCUAACUUGAAAUUCAGAUUCUUGAUUGCUAUUAUAUAGCAAAGCCAUUUACUAUCAUACAUUGACCUUGUUUCUGAGCCCUUGCUCAACUUGCUUAUCAUUCCAGGAGUUGUGUUAUUGUGUUUUGUUUUUAAGAUUCUUAUAUUUUCUGCAUAGACAAUCAUGUCAUCUGCAAAUAGAGAUAAUUGUAUUUUUCUUUCCAAACUGUACAUUAAAAAAAUUUUUUUUCUUGUCUUAUUGAACUAGCUAGGACAUAGAGAGAAAUGUUGAAUAGGAGCGGUGAUUGAGGAUAUUCUUGUCUUGUUUCAAGUUUGUAUUCUUUAUUCUUGGAUUCCAAAUUAAGCCAACAUCAUUUCUUGAAGAGUCCAUUCUUCUCUGUUGAUCAACAAAUGUCCCUUUUUAAAUCAUACACCGAAUGUCCGUAUAUGAGUUGGUCUGUUUCUAUGUUAUCUCUUCUAUUCUGUUUGGUUUAUUUUUUACCCAACCACCAAUUCACAUAUUCUUGAUUACCAUAGUUUUAAUAGCAACUCUUAUUAUCUAGUAGGCAAUUUCCACAUCUUGUUCUUCUCCAGGGGAAUCUUGACUGUCCUUAACACUUCUUUUCUCCAUAAAAAUUUUAGAAUCAGCUUUCCAUCUUUUAUAAAAAUAACUGUUGGGGGUUCCACAGGGAUUCCAUUGACUCUAUAAAACAAUUUGGGUAGAAUUGAUAUAUUGACAAUAUUGAGCUUUUAAUUCACAAAAAUGUGUGUCUUAUCAUUCAAUGAUUUUCUUAAUUUUCUUGACUUAAUUCCAUAAAUUUUCUCUGUAAAGUUCACAUAAAUAUUUGUUAAAUUUAUUUCCAGAUACUUGCUAUUUUUAAUCUUAUUGUAAAUGGUAUUAAAAAUUAUAUUUAAAUUCUUGUUCUUCGUAAAUAGAUAUGCAAUUAACUUUGUUAUAAGGAAUAAAUACCUAAAAAAUUAACUUUCUUAUUAUUUCUUAUACAUUUUACUGCAGAUUGUUUUGUAUUAUCUAUAUACACAAUCAUAUCAUUUGUAAAAAUGACAAUUGUUUAUAAUUUCAACAUAUUUUGUUUUUACUCUUUGUCUUAUGGUGGAGGUGAAGACCUGCAAGAUAAGGUUGAAUAGUUGUGUACAGCAUCCUCGCCUCAAAUGGAGAUCUUUCAAAGUGUCACUCUUUAGCAGUAUUAUGAAAUUAUGUUUAUAUCCUGAUAUUAUGAAAGACAAAAUAUCUAAACUGUGUAAGCCUCAGUUUUUUCAUCUUAAAAAAAUGAAUUCAUAGUACUUUUAUGAGGCUUUCAUAUUGUGCUGUACAUAGGAAAAAUACUUUUUAAAUGUCUGCGACUUGAUUACAAUUAUUCAAUGGCACAUUCGUCAAUAAGAAAAUAAACUUCUAAACAAUUAAUUUACAUUAAAUCAUUUAUUUUGGUUUCAAUCAAGGAAAGAUUUCUUGCAACCUCAUGAAAGACCUUGACCAGCCAUGACUACCCAUCUAACAUGCUGUCUAAUUCCUGACCUAUGGACACUGAUUUCAAAGAGAGGCUGUUUGCUUGACUGAAGGAAGUGCCUUUUGACAGAAGAUGCAAUUUAUGUUAUAUGAAUGAUAUUUCUGAUGGCCAAAAGGACCUGUGAUAGCCUGAGAGUCAAAGACAAGCAGGAACGCAUCUGUAGUCAAACAAGAUAUGGAAUGAAUCCUGGCUUGGAUUGGUUCUUGUCAACAAGGAGGAGCAGGUUAGCAAUCAGAUUCUCGGUAUUCAUUGUUCAGGUGGUGCUGUAUGUCCCCUCCAAAAGCAUGUUGAAAUUUAAUUGCCAAUAUAAUUGUAUUGUGAGGUAGGACCUUUAAGAGGGGUUUGGCUCAUUGAAGCUCCACCCUCAUGAAUAGAUUAAUGUCAUUAUCGUGGGAGUGGGAUUGUUAUCAUGGGAAUGGGCUCCUGAUAAAAGAGUGGUUUCUGCCUGAUCUCCUCUUUCCCUCUCUCGCAUGCUCACUUGCCCUUCCACCAUAUUAUGAUGCAGCAGGAGGGCCCUCACCAGAUGCUGAUAACAUUUUUUUAACUUCUCAGCCCUCAAAACUGUGAAGAAUAAUUUCUUUCUUUUAUACAUCACCUAGUCUGUGCUAUUCUGUUAUAGCAGAAGACAAUAAACUAAGACAGACAUCGGGAAAACAACACGGGCUUGGGGACAUCAUUUAUAAGAAAGUGAUAAUCACUCAGAGAAAAAAAUGAUUAGUCAUAUUUUCAGCUAUAGUGUGGCCUUUUGUAUAAGCACUGUAUACAAAAAUGCUAUAUCCCAUUGGAAGCAUUUUUUUUUUUUUUUGAGAAGGAGUCUCACUCUGUAACUCAGGCUAGAGUGCAGUGGCACGAUCUCGGCUCACUGCAACCUCCUCCUCCUGGGGUCAAGCGAUUCUCCUGCCUCAGCCUCCCGAGUAGCUGGGACUACAGGUGUGCACCACCGGGCCCAGGUAAUUUUUUUGUAUUUUUGGUAGAGACAGGAUUUUACCAUGUUGGCCAGGCUGGUCUCGAACUCCUGACCUUUUCACUUUCUCAAAAAGAAUAUUGUGACACAACCAUGAAGUGAAGAGUUCUAAGAUCCAACAUAGUCUCACUGAGUUGAUGCAUGUUUUUACCUGACUUCUGAUCAUUUUAUAAACAAUUAAAAUAGUACAGCGGGACAGGACCUUAGAAAUUGUCAUUAUAUGUAUGGAGAGCCUGGAGCACAUUCCCAGGGUCUGCCAAGCAGUUUGUGCCAAAAGAAGGAUUAGGACCCAGAUCUCUGACAAUUAGACAAGGAUCCUUCACAGGACAUCUAUUUUCAUCCUGGUACACACACACACACCUGUACCAAUUUCAGGGGUAAAGUAUUUUGCAAGUGAUUUACUACUAAUAAGAGUGAAAAUACUGGAGUGAUUCUCUAUUACUGUUUUCUCACUGUAAAAAUUUCAAGCAUACAAUCAUAAUAAAGUUAUCUCUUUACUUCAAUCUCCUUUCUCAUCUCCAUAUGGAUAAAUAUGUGUAUCUGACUAUUAUAUUAAAGUAAUGAUAUAGUAGUACAUAUUGUUUUGCUGUUGGCUUUUCCCAAUUAAUAACACACUUUGGAUACUGUUCUGUGUCAGUGUCAAUAAAAUCUGUAAACAUAGAUAACAUUAUUUUAUUAUUUUACAAGGUGAAGAUGUCCUUAAUGAUAUUCAAUAUACUUUUCUACAUUUACAGACUAUGUACAUUUUGUAGAUAGAACUUUUUUAUUAAAAUUAACGUUAUUAACCAUUUAUUUAAAAUACUCACAAAUAUUUUUAUUCAAAAAUUAUCUUGAGUAGUAAGGUUAUUGAGAUGCACAAUAAAUGAGCUACGUACUGCUUAUGAGAGAUGGUAGGCCAUUCUUUCUGUGGAUCAUAAGAAAUAUUUUAAAUAAAUAAAUAGUUUGAAU
rnacentral:lncRNA from 1 species